rnacentral:lncRNA from 1 species
CAAAAUUGUUGCACCGCGAGCUUUUUGGGCCGGACCAAAAAUUCGGGUCACCAACUCGAACAACAGCAAUGCAAGAUUGACACGUUCAUUUCAUAGGAUAAUGUAUUACUUAGCAUAUAACACCGGCCAGUUGGUAAGUCGUUAGGAAACUGUUGAUUUGGAGUUAAAACCUGUUCGAAUGAAGUGAGGAGAUUGUUGAAUUUGUAGACCUAGUGGAGGUAUUGACAUGGUGGGGAAAAACUUUUGGGCGUGACAAGCAACUUGAUUUUGUCACCACAACAUGCUUUUUCCAAAUGUCUUCAUCCCAUGAAGAAAUAGCCUA